rnacentral:piRNA from 1 species
UGAGAAGCGGCGUCUGGAAGCUCGGA